rnacentral:misc_RNA from 1 species
CAUAAACAAAAGUUUUGCAGAAAAAUGUUUUUGAAGUUAAUUAAUCUCUGCUUUUUAUUAAAUAUGGUGAAUGGUAAAAGCACACAGAGAACUCAAAACAUUUUUGGAAAUGAAAUUUCUGAUGUAGAUAAAUAUCUAACUAUGGCGGAAAGUGAUGUGAUGAGUUUAAUAAGUGAUGAAAGUGAUUUAUCCAUUUUAACAGAAUCAGAGGAGUUUCCCGAACCUCCACCACAUACUGAAGUUUCAAGGAUGAGCAGAUACCUGUGCCAUCAUUCAGACUGGUUGUCAAUGGCGACCAUAUCUACUAGAGGACCUUUAACAGGAUAUCCUUUUGCAAGUGUUUUUAGCUUCAGUGAUGGGACUAAGCAUAAGUCCUCAGGAAUCCCGUAUUUCUACAUGACAGGGAUGGAUAUGUCCUCUAAGGAUUUGGAGAAGAACCCUAAAGCAUCUGUAACAAUGUCCCUUGCUCAGGGACCCUUCUGUAAAAAGCACGGAUUAGAUGCUGAGGAUCCCAGGUGUGCUCAUGUUGUUAUGGCUGGAGAAGUAGUUCAAGUCCAGCCAAACUCAACUGAAGAAAUAUUUGCCAAAGAGGCUUUGUUCUCACGACACCCUGAGAUGCCUGAGUGGCCUGUUGACCAUGGAUGGUAUUUUGCUAAACUCAACAUCUCUAGUAUCAUUCUUCUAGACUUCUUCGGAGAUUAGUGAUAGCAGUAUCAUCUCGACUAGAAAAUGUUCAAAAUAGGAAAAUUAUUAGAUCUACAUGGAAAAACUCAUUACCUAGCAGUGUUCUUUUCAAGUUUCUUGUAUCUGAAUCCAGCUGUAGUAUAGACCCUUUAUGGAGAAUAGAUCAAGAUGGUUGUGAAGCCUGGGAAGUAAGCGUUCCAAACUGGGUACAUGAAGGAACAGUGCUAG